GACGGAGGGUGCAAGCGUUGUUCGGAAUUACUGGGCGUAAAGCGCGGGCAGGUGGCCUUUUAAGUCCUUUGUGAAAUUCCGGAGCUCAACUCCGGAUGUGCAUAGGAUACUGGAAGGCUAGAGACUGGUAGAGGCGAGCGGAAUUCCUGGUGUAGCGGUGGAAUGCGUAGAUAUCAGGAGGAACACCGGUGGCGAAGGCGGGUCUCUGGGCCGAUACUGACGCUGAGGAGCGAAAGCGUGGGGAGCGAACAGG
rnacentral:rRNA from 1 species